rnacentral:rRNA from 1 species
UACGGGGGGGGCAAGCGUUGUUCGGAAUUACUGGGCGUAAAGCGCGUGUAGGCGGCCAAGUAAGUCGGAUGUGAAAGCCCGGGGCCCAACCCCGGAACUGCACCCGAUACUGCUUGGCUGGAGUCCCGGAGAGGAUGGCGGAAUUUCCGGUGUAGAGGUGAAAUUCGUAGAUAUCGGAAGGAACACCAGUGGCGAAGGCGGCCAUCUGGACGGUGACUGACGCUGAGACGCGAAAGCGUGGGGAGCAAACAGG